AUUAGGUUAAUUAAUUAAAAUAAAAAUUGACAUCAAGUUUGCAAAUAUGGCAGAAUGAAAUACACUAAUGUAGCAGUUAGGAACAUGCAAUGUAUGUUAUAUUGGGUGUAUGCGAUUAUACAGUAACUCCAAUCAUUUUACAGGAGGAAAAAAAACAAUGAAUAUAUUCCUUGUUACUUCUGAGGUUGAUUUAAAAUCUUUGAUUUAAUUCAUGAGAAUGAGAUUUUAAUAUCAUGACUGAUAAUGGAUUACUAUAUUUUGCAAAGCCUGGACAUACAUAUGUUUUGAUUAUAUAGAAGACAAAAGUUUUGAU